AGUGAACGCUGGCGGUAGGCCUAACACAUGCAAGUCGAACGGCAGCACAGUAAGAGCUUGCUCUUACGGGUGGCGAGUGGCGGACGGGUGAGGAAUACAUCGGAAUCUACUUUUUCGUGGGGGAUAACGUAGGGAAACUUACGCUAAUACCGCAUACGACCUACGGGUGAAAGCAGGGGAUCUUCGCACCUUGCGCGAUUGAAUGAGCCGAUGUCGGAUUAGCUAGUUGGCGGGGUAAAGGCCCACCAAGGCGACGAUCCGUAGCUGGUCUGAGAGGAUGAUCAGCCACACUGGAACUGAGACACGGACAAGACUCCUGCGGGAGGCAGCAGUGGGGAAUAUUGGACAAUGGGCGCAAGCCUGAUCCAGCCAUACCGCGUGGGUGAAGAAGGCCUUCGGGUUGUAAAGCCCUUUUGUUGGGAAAGAAAAGCAGCAGGUUAAUACCCCGCUGUUCUGACGGUACCCAAAGAAUAAGCACCGGCUAACUUCGUG
rnacentral:rRNA from 1 species